CUGGAGGCCUCAAGCUGUCGUCAUUCGUCAACCUUCCACAGCCACAAGCCGAAGCGGCGGACGGUGGCUCUGCGCUUCGACGUCGCCGCAGCAACACCACCAGACACACCUUGCUUUGCCAGUUGACAUGGGGGGCCUUGCUGCUCCUGCAUCCUGAACGAAUCGAUCUGAUCUCCCCAGGUAGCCUCAUGAUAUGCAUGCCAGAUUCCAUCAUCUGAAGCUUUCGUCAAUGGCGGCGCGCGGCGGCGCGCUCUGCUUCUCCUCCUCGUCCGCCGCCGCUGUCACGAGCAGCAGGAGGGCGGGUGGCUGCAGGCCGGAACCGCCGCGUUUCUUGGUCGUCACCUGCGACGCCAGGACAGCGGACGUCUACUCCUCCCUGGCCGCGAAGCUACUGGGUCCUCCCACGACCUUCAACGCGGCGAAGCUCAAGGUGGAGUUCGCCGGGGAGGAGCUGCUGCGGGGCAAGAAGCAGCCUUUCCCCAGAGCCUACACCCUGACCCACUGCGACUUCACGGCCAACCUGACGCUCGCCGUGACCGGUCCCAUGACCAGCGAGCAGCUGCAGAGCUGGCAAUCGACGCUGCAGCGGGACGACGUGGUGGCCGAGUGGAAGGAGGCGGCCGCCGGCGCCGGGGAGAUGACGCUGCACGUGCAUUGCUUCGUCAGCGGCGCCAACCUCCUGCAGGAGCUGGCGGCGGGUUUCAGAUACUACGUCUUCUCCAAGGAGCUGCCGCUGGUCCUCAAGGCUGUGGUUCACGGCGACGCGGCGCUCUUCUCGGAGCGGCCGGAGCUGAUGGAGGCCAAGGUGUGGGUGCACUUCCACUCCAGCUCCCGCAAGUACAACCGGAUAGAGUGCUGGGGGCCUCUCAGGGAGGCCACCAAGAGGAACCUGCUGGAUGGGCGGCUGGACGAACUGCAGAGCGCAAUCACCAGGAGGCGACGCAAGUGGGCGAGCCCAGAGACAAUCUUCAACGCCCUGGUGGCACUUCUCCUUUGACAGACAGAGCAAGUUCAAGGGAUGAGCAGCAUAAUUCUUUUGCUCUGCUGCUGAAUGCUGAUGCUGGCACGUGCAUUCUUCAGUUCCUGUGUUGCCAUUUGCAAUGUGGGUGCUUGCCCCUUUUUCAGGACUGGUGAUUGCUUGCUGCUCCAGUCCAGUAGUUGACAACAUCAAGUUUGGCAAGCGAAUUCUGUAGUAACGUACAAUAUCAAGAAAUCCAGCAGAGGAAGCAAUAUAAUGAUUCAUCAUUCAGCACGAUACGCUAAGCUGAAUGAUGAAGAAAAAAUGCAGUAUCACCUACAUAAACGAUCGAUUGGUUCACAAAAAGGCAAAAAGUGAAGUGGACGGAAUUGGGUUUUCUUUC